rnacentral:rRNA from 1 species
GAUGAACGCUGGCGGCGUGCCUAACACAUGCAAGUCGAACGGAGUCGUUUUGGAAAUCUCUUCGGAGAUGGAAUUCUCGACUUAGUGGCGGACGGGUGAGUAACGCGUGAGCAAUCUGCCUUUAAGAGGGGGAUAACAGUCGGAAACGGCUGCUAAUACCACAUAAAGCAUUAAAUUCGCAUGUUUUUGAUGCCAAAGGAGCAAUCCGCUUUUAGAUGAGCUCGCGUCUGAUUAGCUAGUUGGCGGGGUAACGGCCCACCAAGGCGACGAUCAGUAGCCGGACUGAGAGGUUGAACGGCCACAUUGGGACUGAGACACGGCCCAGACUCCUACGGGAGGCAGCAGUGGGGAAUAUUGCGCAAUGGGGGAAACCCUGACGCAGCAACGCCGCGUGAUUGAAGAAGGCCUUCGGGUUGUAAAGAUCUUUAAUCAGGGACGAAACAAAUGACGGUACCUGAAGAAUAAGCUCCGGCUAACUACGUG